rnacentral:rRNA from 1 species
GACGAACGCUGGCGGCGUGCCUAACACAUGCAAGCCGAACGGGGAGUUAGUAAUAACUCCUAGUGGCGAACGGGUGAGUAACGCGUAGAUAACCUGCCUCUAAACUGGGGACAACACCGCGAAAGUGGUGCUAAUACCGAAUGUGGUAACUUGAUCGCAUGAUUGAGUUAAGAAAGAUGGCCUCUAUUUAUACGCUAUCGAUUAGAGAUGGGUCUGCGUCUGAUUAGCUAGUUGGUGAGGUAAUGGCUCACCAAGGCGACGAUCAGUAGCCGGUCUGAGAGGAUGAACGGCCACACUGGGACUGAGACACGGCCCAGACUCCUACGGGAGGCAGCAGUGGGGAAUCUUCCGCAAUGGACGAAAGUCUGACGGAGCAACGCCGCGUGAGUGAAGAAGGUCUUCGGAAUGUAAAGCUCUGUCGUUUGGGACGAGCGUGGGUAGUGUGAAUAAUGCUAUCUAAUGACGGUACCAAAGGAGGAAGCCACGGCUAACUACGUGCCAGCCGCCGCAGUAA